AUUGAACGCUGGCGGCAGGCCUAACACAUGCAAGUCGAACGAGUGGCGGACGUGUGUGUAAUGUCUGGGAAACUGCCUGAUGGAUGGGGUUAACUACUGGAACCGGUAGCUAAUACCGCAUACCAUCGGAUGUGCCCAGAUGGGCUUGGCUAGUAGGUGGGGUAAGGGCUCACCUAGGCGACGAUCCCGAGCUGGUCUGAGAGGAUGACCAGCCAAACUGGAACUGUGACACGGUCAAGAGUCCUACGGGAGGCAGCAGUGGGGAAUAUGGCACAAUGGGCGCAAGCCUGAUGCAGCCAUGCAGCGUGUAUGAAGAAGGCCUGAGGGUUGUAAAGUACUAUCAGCGGGGAGGCGUUACCCGCAGAAGAAGCACCGGCUAACUCCGUGCCAGCAGCCGCGGUAAUAC
rnacentral:rRNA from 1 species